UAGCCGUAAACGAUACUCGCUAGGUGUCGGCCACGGUGCGACCGUUGUCGGUGCCGUAGGGAAGCCGUGAAGCGAGCCACCUGGGAAGUACGGCCGCAAGGCUGAAACUUAAAGGAAUUGGCGGGGGAGCACUACAACGGGUGGAGCUUGCGGUUUAAUUGGAUUCAACGCCGGAAAUCUUACCGGGACCGACAGCAACAUGAAGGCCAGGCUAAAGACUUUGCCGGAUUAGCUGAGAGGAGGUGCAUGGCGUAGUCGUGU
rnacentral:rRNA from 1 species